rnacentral:tRNA from 1 species
GCCCCUAUAGCUCAGUUGGCAGAGCUGAGGACUUUUAAUCCUUAGGUCGCGGGUUCGAGUCCCGCUGGGGGCA